CACCUACGGGUGGCAGCAGUGAGGAAUAUUGGUCAAUGGGGGGAACCCUGAACCAGCAACGCCGCGUGGGUGAUGAAGGCCUUCGGGUCGUAAAGCCCUUUUCUAGGUGACGAGCAAGGACGGUAGCUUAGGAAUAAGUGUCGGCUAACUACGUGCCAGCAGCCGCGGUAAAACGUAGGACACAAGCGUUAUCCGGAAUUACUGGGCGUAAAGCGCCUGCAGGCGGCAUAAUAAGUCAUGCGUGAAAGCGCCCGGCUAAACUGGGGCGAGGACGGAUGA
rnacentral:rRNA from 1 species